rnacentral:rRNA from 1 species
GAUGAACGCUGGCGGCGUGCCUAAUACAUGCAAGUCGAGCGAACAGACGAGGAGCUUGCUCCUCUGACGUUAGCGGCGGACGGGUGAGUAACACGUGGAUAACCUACCUAUAAGACUGGGAUAACUUCGGGAAACCGGAGCUAAUACCGGAUAAUAUAUUGAACCGCAUGGUUCAAUAGUGAAAGACGGUUUUGCUGUCACUUAUAGAUGGAUCCGCGCCGCAUUAGCUAGUUGGUAAGGUAACGGCUUACCAAGGCAACGAUGCGUAGCCGACCUGAGAGGGUGAUCCGCCACAGUGGAAAUGAGAGACGGUCCCUACUCCUACGGGAGGCAGCAGUAGGGAAUCUUCCGCGAUGGGCGAAAGCUUGACGGAGCAACGCCGCGUGAGUGAUGAAGGUCUUCGGAUCGUAAAACUCUGUUAUUAGGGAAGAACAAAUGUGUAAGUAACUAUGCACGUCUUGACGGUACCUAAUCAGAAAGCCACGGCUAACUACGUG